AAAUCUCUCUCUCUCUCUCUCUCUCUCUCUCUCUCUCUCUCUCUCUCUCUCUCUCUCUCUCUCUCUCUCUCUCUCUCUCUCUCUUUGAUUUGUUGAAGUCAAAUUAGCAAAGACAAAGAUUUUUUUUUUUUACUUAAUAAGAGGACGAGGAGGAAGACAAGACCAGGGAUACAAAAGCUAACGUUCUUUUUAUAUCCUUCAACCACUCAAUGAUUAAUAUUUUCAUGUGUUCAUCAUCCUAUCCGUGAAGAGAAGGGGAAGAGGAAUGAUGAAACGUACAGAGCAAUAUGAAAUAAGUCUUGAUCAAGAGAGUCACGUGAGUCACGGUGAUAGGGCAGGCGUGUGACGCACCAGCCUUCCUUUUUCCAACACUUCAUUACAUAAACGUGGAUUUAAACUGCUUCUCUUGCUAAUCACUCAUCUUUAACAAAGGUUUCCUUUUUAUCUUUAUUGGUACAUUUAUAUAUAUUCAAGUUUCUAUUUUUAAAUCUAUUCUUUAAUAUUGAUACGAUGGAUCCAUAUAUCUUUUGACUUAUUUCAGUGGGUGAGAAACGUGGCAACAGUGAGAGCCUAAAGACGCACUAAUACUCUAUAUAAACACACAAACACACACAUCACUCACCAUAGGCGCCUCACACAGCAAGCUGCCCACAGCCAGAGCGUUCUCACGCCACUGACUGACAGCCCCAGCACACCCCUCGCCCUCAACAUCCCCACAAGAUGUGGCGCACUGUCCUGGCAGUGGUGCUAUUGAUGGUGAUAGCGGCGACAGCCAACGCCUACCCACAUACAAUUGGAAGGCCACACAUUCAUUUCGAUUAUGGUUUCGGAGGAGGAGCAAGUGUGAAAUGUGGCAACACUGAGAGUCUAAAGACGCAAUUACACCUUAUGCAAGCAUACAAACCCCAAAAGACACCUCACACAAUAAGCCACCAGCAUUUAGGUGUGUUGCCAGUUUUGCCACCACUGACUGACGGCUCCGGUACACCUCCCGCCUCUCAACAUCUUAUCCCCAGAAAAUGUGGCGCACCGUCCUACGAAUGGUGCUGUUGGUGGUGGUGAUGGCGGCCACACUUGCAGGCAGCGGCCGCCCAAAACAAUCCAUUAAGUGGUUACUCCUUCAUUUAGGUACAUUUAUGACAUAGAUAUAGGAGAGAGAGAGACUGUGUGUGUGUGUGUGUGUGUGUGUGUGUGUGUGUGUGUUUUUCAACUAGAUGACUGAAUUGUUCUUAUUCAGGUGCAGUUGGUGGUCUCGAAGGAGGAGCAAGAAUAUGUAAGUCUGAGCGCCAAAGUAGGUUUCUCUUUCUCGUUUUCUUUUGAAGGAGUACGUUAGAUUUUCAAUGUGUGUGUGUGUGUGUGUGUGUGUGUGUGUGUGUGUGUGUGUGUGUGUGUGUGUGUGUGUGUGUGUGUGUGUGUGUGUGCAUAGAUAUAUAGGUAAAUAGAUAGACAAAUAUAGGUAUUGAAUAAUUAUAUACUUAAUGUUCUUGUUAUUAUUUUUAUCAUUAUCAUUAUUAUUAUCAUUAUUAUUAUUAUUAUUAUUAUUAUUAUUAUUAUUAUUAUUAU